rnacentral:pre_miRNA from 1 species
GGCACGAAUUUGAAGUAGAAUAGUUGGGCAUGAUCAGCUCGUCCUACUAAUCUGCUUUACUUCAAGUUUGUGUCC